GCCCAUCCCGCCAGAACUGCUAUCCGAGCCAUACGUACAGACACCUCAUUGUGUGUCCACCGAUGCCAUGUAUUCAAACCACAUGCAACCGUUUCAAGCUCGGGGGAAAGUCCUCGGACCGCUCUUCAUGGAAAGCUGUGCGCAUUGUCAGCGUCAAGAUGCACGUCCCCGCUCGUCUGCCGUCGUUUUGCCGCAUGGCCUUGCCCUCGACCAGCAAGUAGGCCGUGUGGGCGGGCGCACACUUGAUCGCAAGAUGGGUGUGUCGUGGACGUGGAUCCUGUUGUCAUCAAUUCGCUAGUCUCUCUUGGCUGGUCAGUCACAGGCAUGCAGUUGCCCAUCGGUUUUGUUUGUCCUUUCGGGGUCAAUAAGACUUGGGUGGGUUCCUUGACGAGGCUCACUCGGCGGGUAUGGG
rnacentral:RNase_MRP_RNA from 2 species